CCUACGGGUGGCUGCAGUGAGGAAUAUUGGUCAAUGGACGAGAGUCUGAACCAGCCAAGUAGCGUGAAGGAUGACUGCCCUAUGGGUUGUAAACUUCUUUUAUAUGGGAAUAAAAUGUUCCACGUGUGGGAUUUUGUAUGUACCAUAUGAAUAAGGAUCGGCUAACUCCGUGCCAGCAGCCGCGGUAAUACGGAGGAUCCGAGCGUUAUCCGGAUUUAUUGGGUUUAAAGGGAGCGAAGGUGGAUUGUUAAGUCAGUUGUGAAAGUUUGCGGCUCAACCGUAAAAUUGCAGUUGAAACUGGCAGUCUUGAGUACAGUAGAGGUGGGCGGAAUUCGUGGUGUAGCGGUGAAAUGCUUAGAUAUCACGAAGAACUCCGAUUGCGAAGGCAGUUCACUGGACUGCAACUGACACUGAGGCUUGAAAGUGUGGGUAUCAAACAGGAUUAGAUACCCUAGUAGUC
rnacentral:rRNA from 1 species